rnacentral:rRNA from 1 species
ACGAACGCUGGCGGCGUGCUUAACACAUGCAAGUCGAACGGAAAGGCCCUGCUUGCAGGGUACUCGAGUGGCGAACGGGUGAGUAACACGUGGGUGAUCUGCCCUGCACUUCGGGAUAAGCCUGGGAAACUGGGUCUAAUACCGGAUAGGAGCCAUUUUUAGUGUGAUGGUUGGAAAGUUUUUUCGGUGUAGGAUGAGCUCGCGGCCUAUCAGCUUGUUGGUGGGGUAAUGGCCUACCAAGGCGGCGACGGGUAGCCGGCCUGAGAGGGUGGACGGCCACAUUGGGACUGAGAUACGGCCCAGACUCCUACGGGAGGCAGAAGUGGGGAAUAUUGCACAAUGGGCGCAAGCCUGAUGCAGCGACGCCGCGUGGGGGAUGACGGCCUUCGGGUUGUAAACUCCUUUCGCUAGGGAAGAAGCUUUUUGUGACGGUACCUAGAGAAGAAGCACCGGCUAACUACGUG